rnacentral:rRNA from 1 species
AGUCGAGCGCACCUUCGGGUGAGCGGCGGACGGGUUAGUAACGCGUGGGAACAUACCCUUUGGUACGGAAUAGCCUCUGGAAACGGAGAGUAAUACCGUAUGAGCCCUUCGGGGGAAAGAUUUAUCGCCAAAGGAUUGGCCCGCGUUAGAUUAGGUAGUUGGUGGGGUAAUGGCCUACCAAGCCUACGAUCUAUAGCUGGUUUUAGAGGAUGAUCAGCAACACUGGGACUGAGACACGGCCCAGACUCCUACGGGAGGCAGCAGUGGGGAAUCUUGGACAAUGGGGGCAACCCUGAUCCAGCCAUGCCGCGUGAGUGAUGAAGGCCUUAGGGUCGUAAAGCUCUUUCGCCUGUGAAGAUAAUGACGGUAGCAGGUAAAGAAACCCCGGCUAACUCCGUGCCAGCAGCCGCGGUAAUACGGAGGGGGUUAGCGUUGUUCGGAAUUACUGGGCGUAAAGCGCACGUAGGCGGACUGGAAAGUUGGGGGUGAAAUCCCAGGGCUCAACCCUGGAACUGCCUCCAAAACUAUCAGUCUAGAGUUCGAGAGAGGUGAGUGGAAUUCCGAGUGUAGAGGUGAAAUUCGUAGAUAUUCGGAGGAACACCAGUGGCGAAGGCGGCUCACUGGCUCGAUACUGACGCUGAGGUGCGAAAGUGUGGGGAGCAAACAGGAUUAGAUACCCUGGUAGUCCACACCGUAAACGAUGAAUGCCAGUCGUCGGGUAGCAUGCUAUUCGGUGACACACCUAACGGAUUAAGCAUUCCGCCUGGGGAGUACGGUCGCAAGAUUAAAACUCAAGGAAUUGACGGGGGCCCGCAC